AAUCUUCCGCAAUGGACGCAAGUCUGACGGAGCAACGCCGCGUGAGCGAUGAAGGUCUUCGGAUCGUAAAGCUCUGUUGUCAGGGAAGAACACGUGUGAGAGUAACUGCUCACACCUUGACGGUACCUGACCAGAAAGCCACGGCUAACUACGUGCCAGCAGCCGCGGUAAUACGUAGGUGGCAAGCGUUGUCCGGAUUUAUUGGGCGUAAAGCGCGCGCAGGCGGUCUUUUAAGUCUGAUGUGAAAUCUUACAGCUUAACUGUAAGCGGUCAUUGGAAACUGGGAGACUUGAGUGCAGAAGAGGAGAGUGGAAUUCCAUGUGUAGCGGUGAAAUGCGUAGAUAUAGGAAGGAACACCAGUGGCGAAGGCGACUACCUGGACUGAUACUGACACUGAGGUGCGAAAGCGUGGGGAGCAAACA
rnacentral:rRNA from 1 species